AACGCGAAGAACCUUACCUGGGUUUGACAUGCACAGGACGCCGGUAGAGAUAUCGGUUCCCUUGUGGCCUGUGUGCAGGUGGUGCAUGGCUGUCGUCAGCUCGUGUCGUGAGAUGUUGGGUUAAGUCCCGCAACGAGCGCAACCCUUGUCUCAUGUUGCCAGCGCGUUAUGGCGGGGACUCGUGAGAGACUGCCGGGGUCAACUCGGAGGAAGGUGGGGAUGACGUCAAGUCAUCAUGCCCCUUAUGUCCAGGGCUUCACACAUGCUACAAUGGCCGGUACAAAGGGCUGCGAUGCCGUGAGGCUUAGCGAAUCCUUUAAAGCCGGUCUCAGUUCGGAUCGGGGUCUGCAACUCGACCCCGUGAAGUCGGAGUCGCUAGUAAUCGCAGAUCAGCAACGCUGCGGUGAAUACGUUCCCGGGCCUUGUA
rnacentral:rRNA from 1 species